CAGCAACGGCGUUUUUCCUCGCAACUUCUCGUUUUAACAGGCACGCCUAGAAAUAACUUAGGGUUAGUGGAGAAUAGGCACAGAUGAUUAUAUUCAAGGUUUAAUAACCGUAUUAUCCUAUAGAAGAAAUAUUGGCUGCUGAAUAUUUGCUUGAAGAAUUCAGGUCUGAUUUAAUAGAGAUGGUACUGGAUAAAUUGAGACCAGAAAAUGUUCAAGUUGCAAUAGUUUCCAAGUCUUUUGAAGGAAAAACUGAUUGAACAGAAGAUUGGUAUGGAACACAGUACAAUCAGGAAG